GGCCUGGUGGUGUAAUGGGAACAUCCCUGCAUUCUAUGGAGGGGAAGAUUAAAGUGUUUGGUGGGAGAUCCUUGUUCGACUCAAGGUCAGGCCA